UUUCUUACAAAAUGUCAUAAAUUAAAGAGAAAUUGCACUCUACACAUUAGCAAAACCACGUAAUUAGCUAAAUGCACUUUAGGCUUAUGCUUAGGAAUUGUCGUCAUAUGUAAUGUCCGUCAUACCCCUAUUACCUUCAAAUGUAUUAUCUUCGAGGAUGCCCACAUAUUUCUGAAAAUAUACACGCAAUAGAUUGUGUCAGACAACUUGUAAUUUUAUAAUGUUUUUUCGUAAAGUUCCCCCAUAUCAUAAAAUCGUCGACACUGAAAGCCUUUGUCUUCUUCCUCUAUAUAUUCUCAACAGUUCCUCUCUGAAUUGAAACCCAUACGACACAAAUCCUAAUAGAAAUCUAUUGCCUUUUAUUCAUCUUCCUAAUGGGUUCAACCAGUCGCAAAACGCCGCGUCAUGAUUUUCCCAGAAGAGUGUUCGCGGUGGGUGAAGAACCAGUGGGCAUUAGGGUUACUCCUUACCACAAACCUUCUUGUAUCUCCAAAAUCAUCAACGCCCUAGAAGAUUAUGAAAUCGCAGUUAUCAAAGCGUCUCCAUUUGGGAAAUUGCUAAAUAUUACAGAAAAACCUUAUUCUCAGGCCGGUUUGGGCGUUUCCUUAUUUCGAGGCAAUUGAAGGUUUUGAAGAAGCACGAGAUCUGGUUUCUUUUUGCUGGUAAACCGGUUAGAUUCUCUUUAAGAGAAUUCGCGUUCGUUACGGGGCUUAAUUGCCGUAGAUUCCCACCGCAUUCAAAGAAGAGGAGCAGCAAAAACAUAUCCGACUUUUGCUGUUAAGUUGUUGCUUAUCUAUCAUUACGUAUUCCAACCCGUCUUUCUCUUUUCUUUUUGCAAUGUGUAAUAUAAAUGCUAUGUUUAUGUCUUGGCAGUUAGCAGUUUCCAUUGGACCUUUUUCUUUAAUCUUCUACAUCUAUAAUUCAUCCCAAUAGCGGUAGUCCAUUUAGGUAGUUAGUAGCUUGCAAAAUUUUUGGCAGUACACACCUCACAUAUUAUUGUGAUAAAUAUGUUUAUAGCUUGUCAAUGACACGUUUAUCCAUCCA
rnacentral:lncRNA from 1 species